CAGGAAUCUUGGCCUUUUCUUGGACCCAUAGCCUCGGCCUUCGACCAAUCAUAUCGCCGAAUUCGCAAGCGGUGAGAGACAAAUACGGCGUGCCAAAGACAUAUUGGGUGUCUCAAAAUCACUGAGAACUCUGUAGCUCAAAACUUAAGCCCUGCACUCUUUUAGAUCUACCCCGUUGAGUGGCAUUCUUGUGAAAAUUAUGUAAAGAUAUUUAUCAGAAUAAGGUAGAAGUGUAGGGGGUGGCAGGUGAGGUGCAGAAGAAGAAGAAGAAGUUGUACCUAUCCAGUAAUUUUAUCUUGAUUUGUGGACUAGACGAAGACUAGAUUUUGAUGAAGAAAUCGACAAACUUGAACUGCAGGACUCGUGGCGCUGCUCGCCUCCUCGCCAAUGCGAAUG